GGGGAAGGAGCUCAAUGAUCGAUUAGUAAUGCCUGCAAUGAGCAUGGAAGAGAGCAGGGUAGCACGUGUACCAUGUAUUUGUCAUAAGAAUAGAUUGUGAAGUAAUAGAAGAUGGGGUGCAGGCUCAGCUUUAUCACUUUCUAGCUAGAAGUUAAACCUUGUGCUUAAUUUUCAGAGCUUCAGUUUUCCCAUACAUACUAUGGGAAUUUUACCUCUUGGUUAUUUUUUGGAAUGGUAAAGUUCUUAUCAAGGUAUCCGGCAUGUUGAAAUUUCUCAAUAAAUGGAAACGACCCAGACAUAUCACUGAGGGAUGUGGCAUCACAGAAAUAUCACUGAGGCCAAGGAAAAAAGGAACCUCUGAGGUGGGCAGAGCAGGUACGAUGGCCACCACUAGGCAGAGGAGGGAAGUCAGAAUCCAGGAAGGUGAUGUGACUACCUCAGAAUCACCCCACAAAAUAAGGAAGAGCGGGACCUCUCGGCUUCUCUAAAGUGCUAAUGUGUACUGUGAAUUUCAAGACAAGCUUUGCUGCAGCGUUUCCUUUAUUUAUUUGGCCAUGGAGACUGAGGCAAUGGUGCCCCUUUGCACAAGGAAGUGUGCGGAAUCAGUGAGCCUGAGAACAACACACUUUACGGUCACUUAUUCUACUCCUCCAUCCUGACUCCCCAUGGCAGGAGAAGCUCUGUGGCUGAGACCUGGCAUAUUAAAAUUUUUAUUUGGUGACAAUUCUAUAGGCUUACAGCCUCAUGUUGCUGAAAAAGUGGUGUGAAUGCAAUAGCACUCCCUCCACAGACAUCCACAUCCUUCCUUGGCAAAAAUGGUGUGUACAGAUUCAAGCUUCUGUUCUAAAAGAA
rnacentral:lncRNA from 1 species